rnacentral:rRNA from 1 species
GACGAACGCUGGCGGCGUGCCUAAUACAUGCAAGUCGAGCGCAGGAAGCCGUCCGAACCCUUCGGGGGGACGACGGUGGAAUGAGCGGCGGACGGGUGAGUAACACGUAAAGAACCUGCCCAUAGGUCUGGGAUAACCACGAGAAAUCGGGGCUAAUACCGGAUGUGUCAUCGGACCGCAUGGUCCGAUGAUGAAAGGCGCUCCGGCGUCGCCCAUGGAUGGCUUUGCGGUGCAUUAGCUAGUUGGUGGGGUAACGGCCCACCAAGGCGACGAUGCAUAGCCGACCUGAGAGGGUGAUCGGCCACACUGGGACUGAGACACGGCCCAGACUCCUACGGGAGGCAGCAGUAGGGAAUCUUCCACAAUGGACGAAAGUCUGAUGGAGCAACGCCGCGUGAACGAUGAAGGCUUUCGGGUCGUAAAGUUCUGUUGUAAGGGAAGAACAAGUGCCGCAGGCAAUGGCGGCACCUUGACGGUACCUUGCGAGAAAGCCACGGCUAACUACGUGCCAGCCGCCGCCGUAA